CUUUGAAAACCACUUCUAGAAUCCUCUGCAAUCUGAUGCCGAAGGCCUGGGCAGAAGCUGAGGUCAUUUUCUAAAACACAGGAGCAUGACUUAGCUUGUAAAUCUGAGCCCUAAUGGCACAGGUGUUCCAAGGCCACGAAUCUUCUAUUUUCACUCUAACAGAAUGUUUAGGUUGUCUGUGAGUUAGAGCAGGGAGAAGGUGUGGCUCGGUGAGCAGGGUGGUUUGAUGUCUCUCCAGACGGCUCUGUUUGAGGACUUGGAGCCAUGUCAUUCCAAAAGACCCUGAAAGAUUCUGUGUAGAGAUGUACGUAUACAGGCAAAAGAAAACAAGGCUUCAUCCCAAGAGCAAGAGGAAUGCAGGACUGCAAUGUGGCCCACUGGAGGGGAGGUCAGGAGGCUUUUAAUUAAAAUAAAUUCCAGUAACCCUGCGUUCAUUUUCCUGUGGCUGUCCUAAGGCAGGAGUUGGAACAGUAAGGACAGCUUUCAUUAAGAGGGAGGCCUCUCUACAAUGUGACGAUUGUCUUUUGUAGCAGUCUUAGGAAAUAGUCCCUACUCUGUACCAACCGCAAAGGACCCCAGGGAGUUUAAAAAUGGAAAGUCCCAAAUCAUAGCCUGGCGCUAACCUGGAGGAGCUCCCUCACCCAGGAAACACAUUGAAGCUACUUAGACCCUGCUGGGGGCUGCUGUUCGAGUCUGCUAGCUUGUGGAGGCCACACGGGAAGCCUGAGAACACAUAAAGCCCGGAAGAGACUCCUUCCUCACCCCAGAGCCUUCAGUGGUCCUCACAGGAGACCCUCUUCAUGAGGAACACUUUCACAGUGCCAUAGACAGGGGCCUGUGACAUGGCUUCAGGGAGUGGCAGGGCUGCUACUCACUAGCUGUGUGAUACAAGGAAGUCCGUGGCCAUCUCUAGGGACAGGUGUGCAUCCAUAAAGUGAAGUGAUCCAAUGGCAGCAGACAAGGUGAGGCUCGCAAGGUAUAAAUAUGCAGAGUGCCCACACAGGGCCUGGUCGCCAUUGGGAUCUGCCUGCCUUAAGUGUCCUCACCACCAGGAAAGUGACCAGCCCCCCUCCAUGACCACAACUUGGGGCCACCAUGUAGUGAAGGCUUCCAGCAACCUCAAGUUCCUGUUACUUGUCUUGGUGAUGUAGAUGCGUUUUCCAUAAGCUGCCUUAAAAAUCCUUUUUGAAGCCAAGUCGGGGUGUAAGUUACAUAGGCUUCUCUAAGAAGUUCUGAACGCAAAUUACAAACCAGCUCAGAAGUGAAAAACCCGAACCUCAUGAACGUGGUCAUCAUGCUGCUCAUGCACUUCAGCCUCCCCAGGAAAGAAAUGAAGACAGGCUUUGCUCUCAGACACAAUGAAGGGACAGCAGUUGGCUCCUCCAGAUCUAAAAAGGUGCUUCAAGCUCUAGUAGGCCAGAAUGAGAGAUCUGCAAGGUGUGAUGGACAGAUGGAUAAAUGCCGAUGCCCCCUUCAUCAGUUCCUCUGUGGACCGAAGCUCCCUGCCUGGCCCAUGGAUCUUUUCAGACCAGGCUGCUCAUUGAAGCUUUCCCUUCACCUUCUCCCAUGUGCUGGCCUCAUUUUAGCCUGACUUCUACUUCCUGAAUCAACCCCAUGCCUUCCAGAUGUUGAUUUUAUGCUUUUGAGCACAGUGGACCUUAUUUUAUUCAGUAUGUAAUUAUUUUUAUCUGAUAUCUUGGAAUACACCCCUAGGUCUUCUUUAUGAAUUGUACUCCAUUUCUGAAUAUUAUGACCAAAAAAAAAAAAAAAUCAUUAGUACUAUGUGUUUUCUGCCAACGGAGGCACAUUGUAUGCUCUGUACGUGGAUUAAAUAAUUCCUGAAGCUUGAUGCUCUACCUAUUACGCGGGGAUAAGAAAAACCCUAAGAAAAAGCCAUAAAUGGCAACUUCCUUUUGGAAUCCUGAAGCCGUGUAAGUUCAUCCUGAUGGAAAGUUCAGCCCUGACAGUGCCUGGAGGCCGGCUGGCCCAGAGGCCAGAGCUGUUGCCACAACAAUCUUUAAAAAUAGAUCACCUUUGAAAGCAGAGCAGAUUUACCGUAAGCCCAGUACAGAUGCUCUGGGGCUCUUAACAGCUAACAUUUGGAUAGAGAUUGGCUGUAUUUAAGAAUAAAAGACUAGAAGAAGGCUAGAAGAAGGGGAGAGAAACCAAAGGACUCAGAGGAAAGCAGCAGAGUAGCAUAGGGGCAGAUGAUCAGAUAAAACAAGGAAGGCUCUGUGGCGGGCCUGUGUCGCGGCUCUGUCCACCUGUUAACCCAUCUAGAAGGCAGCUCGUUUAUAGACCCAGAUGCCUGUGAGACAGGAAGAGAAAAGGAUUCUUC
rnacentral:lncRNA from 1 species